rnacentral:lncRNA from 11 species
CUUCCCAGCACAGCUGAUCCUAGGGUGUGGACUGAUUGUUCAGCGUUUUCUCUGCUAACCUAGCUGAUCUCUUUUUGACUUUUUUCUCCCUUUGAUGUCCCAGAAAGGUGACUCUGGAUCGUGGGCACACGUAAGAGCUUCCAUUUAUCAUAAUCAAUCCAUCAUAAUUUGGGCCCCAUUUACACUGACAAAUAAUACAGUCUGUGAAUGCAGAUUAACUGUAUUGAACUGGAUUAUAUGGUAGUAUAGACUCAUAUAAUCCAGUUCAAAACCGUUAAUCUGUAUUCUGAAACUGGAUUAUAUGGCAGUGCAGAUCCAGCCAUAGGCAGAAGCAACAUAGCAGGCACUUGUUAUACUAUGCAGGAGGCACCGUAAACC